rnacentral:rRNA from 1 species
UACGUAGGUGGCAAGCGUUGUCCGGAAUUAUUGGGCGUAAAGGGCGUGUAGGUGGAUUCUUAAGUCGUGUGUCUAAGUGCGAAGCUCAACUUCGUAUGGGCGCAGGAAACUGGAAAUCUUGAGUGCAGGAGAGGAAAGUGGAAUUCCCAGUGUAGCGGUGAAAUGCGUAGAUAUUGGGAGGAACACCAGUGGCGAAGGCGACUUUCUGGACUGUGUCUGACACUGAGGCGCGAAAGCUAGGGGAGCGAACGGG